rnacentral:rRNA from 1 species
GACGAACGCUGGCGGCGUGCUUAACACAUGCAAGUCGAACGGAAAGGCCCUGCUUUUGUGGGGUGCUCGAGUGGCGAACGGGUGAGUAACACGUGAGUAACCUGCCCUUGACUUUGGGAUAACUUCAGGAAACUGGGGCUAAUACCGGAUAGGAGCUCCUGCUGCAUGGUGGGGGUUGGAAAGUUUCGGCGGUUGGGGAUGGACUCGCGGCUUAUCAGCUUGUUGGUGGGGUAGUGGCUUACCAAGGCUUUGACGGGUAGCCGGCCUGAGAGGGUGACCGGCCACAUUGGGACUGAGGUACGGCCCAGACUCCUACGGGCGGCAGCAGUGGGGAAUAUUGCACAAUAGGCGGAAGCCUGAUGCAGCAACGCCGCGUGCGGGAUGACGGCCUUCGGGUUGUAAACCGCUUUCGCCUGUGACGAAGCGUGAGUGACGGUAAUGGGUAAAGAAGCCCCGGCUAACUACGUG